ACAUCCUCUCCUGCAACCUCAACCCUUAGUACCGCAGGCAAGAAAACAUUGAUGUUUCUGCAUCUGGCAGCAUGUCUCUGGGAGAAGAGGCCAGCGGAAGGGAGUUUGAUGUGUGAGUGACAGAUCCCCAGUGUGACAGUGACAGUGACCAGGAAGAGAAGGUAAGACCCCUCCUCCCCCAUUUUGGGCACAGCACAUAACACACUGUGAACACCAGAGUCCUCCCAUAGAUAGCUGCAGGGUGGGAUGCCAGCUUCAUGUUGACAGGACCUUUUCUCUUUAGGAAAGAUGGGCAUUAUUCACACAGUGACAUUUCCUAUGCUAUGACACGUUUAAUUUGUCAGAUCUACCUUUUUUUCAUUUAAACAAGACCUUUAAUAUUGCAUAUAUGUGACACUGAGUUUUUACUUUAUAGAUGACUCAUAGACCCGAAAACAUUUUAAAAGACAAAAUUAUUUGUUUUAAUAACCAUCUGAUUUUUUAAAAUCCAUGAUGAGAACAUUAAACUUGCUAGUAUGUGUUUAUAAUGUCAUUUCUGCAUUUAUUUUACUGACCC
rnacentral:sRNA from 1 species